CGCCUCAAGGAGCGCUGCAGCAGCGCGCGAGCCAGUGAUUGGCUGCGCUGUCAGGCUUGGGGCCUGCGGCUGUUGUGCAGCAGCCGCCACUGCAACGGCGUUCACCUGUU
rnacentral:ncRNA from 2 species